rnacentral:misc_RNA from 1 species
GAUGAAGAACGUAGCGAAAUGCGAUAAGUAGUGUGAAUUGCAGAAUUCAGUGAAUCAUCGAAUCUUUGAACGCACAUUGCGCCCCUUGGUAUUCCAUGGGGCAUGCCUGUUCGAGCGUCAUUUGUACCCUCAAGCUUUGCUUGGUGUUGGGCGUCUUGUCGUAUUACGACUCGCCUUAAAUACAUUGGCAGCCGGCACUUUGGCCUAGGAGCGCAGCACAUUUUGCGAUCGUAGCCCGUUGUACUGGCGUCCAUCAAGAACAUUUACCACGUUUGACCUCGGAUCAGGUAGGGAUACCCGCUGAACUUAAGCAUAUCAUAAGCGGAGGA